GCACAACGCGAAGAACCUUACCUACUCUUGACAUCCAGAGAACUUGGCAGAGAUGCUUUGGUGCCUUCGGGAACUCUGAGACAGGUGCUGCAUGGCUGUCGUCAGCUCGUGUUGUGAAAUGUUGGGUUAAGUCCCGCAACGAGCGCAACCCUUAUCCUUUGUUGCCAGCGGUCCGGCCGGGAACUACAAAGGAGACUGCCAGUGAUAAACCGGAGGAAGGUGGGGAUGACGUCAAGUCAUCAUGGCCCUUACGAGUAGGGCUACACACGUGCUACAAUGGCGCAUACAAAGAGAAGCGACCUCGCGAGAGCAAGCGGACCUCAUAAAGUGCGUCGUAGUCCGGAUUGGAGUCUGCAACUCGACUCCAUGAAGUCGGAAUCGCUAGUAAUCGUGGAUCAGAAUGCCACGGUGAAUACGUUCCCGGGUCUUGUACACACCG
rnacentral:rRNA from 1 species